rnacentral:rRNA from 1 species
GACGAACGCUGGCGGCGUGCCUAACACAUGCAAGUCGAGCGGGGUGCAGCAAUGCACCCAGCGGCGAACGGGUGAGUAACGCGUGGAUAACCUACCCCUAUGCCUGGGAUAACACUUCGAAAGAGGUGCUAAUACCGGAUAAUCCAUAGCCGACAGAAGUCAGUUAUGGCAAAGGCGGUGUAAGCCGUCACAGAGGGAAGGGUCCGCGUCCCAUUAGCUAGUUGGUGAGGUAAGAGCUCACCAAGGCGACGAUGGGUAGCCGGCCUGAGAGGGUGACCGGCCACACUGGGACUGAGACACGGCCCAGACUCCUACGGGAGGCAGCAGUAGGGAAUAUUGCGCAAUGGGCGGAAGCCUGACGCAGCGACGCCGCGUGAGCGAAGAAGGCCUUCGGGUCGUAAAGCUCUGUCCUUGGGGAAGAAGGCGAAAGCUUGACGGUACCCAAGAAGAAAGCCCCGGCUAACUACGUG